rnacentral:lncRNA from 1 species
AAACACGUAAACAAAUGAGCAGAAAGAGGGCUGCCCAGGGCACAGGACUCUCCCAAGCCAGUGGCUGCGAGCAAGGGACAGAAACAGACCACACACCCUUGGCCAUGCCACCCGAGCCAGCCCUGAAGCCCCCUACUGCAGAGGUACGGCUCCUGGGCUGGGAGGAACAGAUGUGUGGAACAGAAAGGCGCUGUGUGCUGUGGAGGCUGCAGAGUCAGGGACAAGGGCAUCAUCAGCAGACACCAAAGAUUCUUCACCCUUGAUGGAAACACGCAUCAGCAAUCAGUUCAUCCAACAUUUCUGCCUUGUGAGCCGUUCCUUGGGGUCUGGUGUGUGAGCCCCUCCCGCCCCCUCCCAGGGCCCGAGCCCCGGCUCCCUGGUGACUCAAGCUCUUCCUCUGGUUGCUCCAGGGCUGGGCUUUCUUGAGAGAAGGGUGAGGGCUGGAAGUCCACGGGAAGAAGACAAGCCCGGGCAGGGCUCCUCCAGGUCAGCCACCUGCCCUCCGAGGAGGGGGAACCAGUGUCCUCUGUCCUCUCCCGGCUGCGGCCGCCCACACGUCCUCACCCCCAGCCCAGAAGGCUUUUCCUGCACCUGCAGCCCAGACCCCUGGCCAGGCAGCCGUCCUCCCCCGGCCUGGUCCCAGGUGGGAGUGAGCCCUCAUCUCAGGUCCUUCAAGUCCUGCCUUUGUUUUCUUCGAGAAGUGCAUGCUGACUUCACGCUUCACGGAAACUUGUGAGCUUCAUUUUAAACAUUAGUCCACCUCCAUGUGAUGGAGCCCCUUAGUGCCCUUGGCUACGGCCGGAACUCUGGACCCCCAGGCCCCUCACUGUGGGGGUCAGGGCAGGGCUUUCUUCUCAUCAUUUUGGCAAAUCUGAC